rnacentral:rRNA from 1 species
AUUGAACGCUGGCGGCAUGCCUUACACAUGCAAGUCGAACGGUAACAGGUUAAGCUGACGAGUGGCGAACGGGUGAGUAAUGUAUCUGAACGUGCCCAGUCGUGGGGGAUAACUUCUCGAAAGUGCAGCUAAUACCGCAUACUACCUGAGGGUGAAAGCGGGUGAUCGCAAGACCUCGCGCGAUUGGAGCGGCCGAUAUCAGAUUAGGUAGUUGGUGAGGUAAAGGCUCAGCAAGCCGACGAUCUGUAGCUGGUCUGAGAGGAGGACCAGCGACACUGGGACUGAGACACGGCCCAGGCUCCUACGGGAGGCCGCAGUGGGGAAUGGUGGACAAUGGGCGCAAGCCUGGUCCAGCCAUGGCGCGUGCGGGAAGAAGGCCUUCGGGUUGUAAACCGCUUUUGUCAGGGAAGAAAAGGUUCUGGCUAAUACCUGGGACUCAUGACGGUACCUGAAGAAUAAGCACCGGCUAACUACGUG